UCAAGUGAUAGUGCCAAGGAAUUUUAGUCUAGUGAUGCAGACUGCCUGGAACAUGAGCCAUCUCAUACAAGAUAAGCUUCUCUGAGAUAAUAAUAACGAUGAUACUUCACACUUUCCAUGUUGUCACUGUUUUACAAGCCUGUUUCUGAGUCUCUCACUUAGGCAAGCAAUCCCACUUAAGUCAGAGUAACUAUUUCACAUGACUAGGAAUUGCUGAAUUUAGCCUUAAUUAAUUAUUCUUUUCCAUUUUACAGGUAGGAAAAGCAUCACACAAACCCUACAUUCAGUACAACUUAAGGAGAUGUUUGUCAGAGCUGUGACAAGAACUCCCAAGCUUAUACUCAGAUCAUGCCUCUUUUAUGGCUGCACGAAAGACACAGCUGAAGAGCAACCUUCUUUCCUCUCCACCAAGCAGAGAUGUCUGCAGAUCUCUACUUCUGUGUAGUGCUACUCCCCCAAAGGCACGCUGUGAUCAACACGAGGUGAACCUU
rnacentral:lncRNA from 1 species